GAUGAACGCUGGCUACAGGCUUAACACAUGCAAGUCGAGGGGAAACGCCGGGGAAGCUUGCUUCCCCGGGCGUCGACCGGCGCACGGGUGAGUAACGCGUAUCCAACCUGCCUCUGACUGAGGGAUAACCCGUCGAAAGUCGGCCUAAUACCUCAUGGCAUCGUCUGCGGGCAUCCAACGACGAUUAAAGAUUUCAUCGGUCAGAGAUGGGGAUGCGUCUGAUUAGCUUGUUGGCGGGGUAACGGCCCACCAAGGCGACGAUCAGUAGGGGUUCUGAGAGGAAGGUCCCCCACAUUGGAACUGAGACACGGUCCAAACUCCUACGGGAGGCAGCAGUGAGGAAUAUUGGUCAAUGGGCGAGAGCCUGAACCAGCCAAGUAGCGUGCAGGAUGACGGCCCUAUGGGUUGUAAACUGCUUUUAUGCGGGGAUAAAGUGAGGGACGUGUCCUUCAUUGCAGGUACCGCAGGAAUAAGGACCGGCUAAUUCCGU
rnacentral:rRNA from 1 species